UGGAGCAACUCAGAAUUUCUCUUAAAGGGUCGCCGCACGUUCGAAAACUUGAUCCUGUAGCGCACCAGGUUCCCGUCGUGAUUUCUUUAAAGGAAUCAGCGGAGGUAGGGCAAUUGAAUCCGACUGGUGACAGAAAUCCUGCUGAAUACUUGCGAUCAGCAAGCCCAGUUAAUGGAAGUUGAGAAAGAAAGCCGAGUCCGCAUUGCAAAUCUGGCGUGGAAAAAUGAAGAGUUGGAGCAAACCAUAUAUUCGGUUCUUCAAGACAAUCGGCAGAUGCUGUCGGAAAAGCGUGCGUUGCAGUUCCGUGCGGAAGAACUUCAGUUGGACUUGGAAGUCAGUAACGACCAAAUCAAGGACUACAAGGAAGCUUACUGCAAAAUCGAAGGAGAAAAUACGGUUCUACGAAGUAAAAACGCGCGCUUAAUGAGAAUUCUGGAACAUCUGCUGCGUCAGCAAGCUAAGUUGGAACAGGAAAUGAAGACGUCCGGGAAGUUGUUGAAUGAUGCGCUGCAAUUGUUAAAUGCAACCAGUCCGUAGUUACAUCUUAUUUUCGAUAUGUUUUUUAGUGUUUCAACGGCUAGCGGGAUUACAAUAUCAACAAAGUUUGCAAUUUGGGCAGGUAGUAAUGCAAAUGUCAUUUUGUAAUGCAAAUGUGCCAUUUUUGACCGCGUCAAAAUCUGCCUACCCGUUGAGCCAAUCUGCCUACCCGUUCAGCCAAUUGCUUUUUUAGGUUUGAACGUCACGGUUGUUACGGUACAGUUCUGUGGUAUUUUUCCUAAUAUUUUUCGAGCCGAGGCCGAGAGGGCCGAUCUGCCGUGCAAAUAAUGCUCGUGCAACUCGUGUGCCUAUACUUUAUGUUAACCGGUUUGGAGCGAGGUCGAAGGCGAGACUUGCAGGCCCAUGGCAACAAUUCGUUUUUCGAAAGUCGUGCUCCCCCCUUGAGGCGCAUCGGGUCGGCAAUAGCGCAACAUCACCCGCUACGUUGCAACGAUUCUGGCGCACUUUACCGCGUCAAAAUCGGCCAACCCGUUCGUCCGAACAUAAUUUUCUUAGCAGAGGCCGUCAUGGCUGUUACGGAUGUAGUUAACUACCUAGUCCAAUAUUUCUUAAUUUCCCUUUUUUAUCGUAACGUCGUGAUCGGUAGUCAAUUCUUACGAAAAUUCGACAAAAAAUUAAAUAGUGUUUUUUUU